AAGUACCGUGAGGGAAAGGUGAAAAGUACCCCGGGAGGGGAGUGAAAUAGUACCUGAAACCGUGUGCCUACAAGCCGUGAGAGCCUUAUGCGCAUUCGUGCGUGGGGGUGAUUGCGUGCCUUUUGAAGAAUGAGCCUGCGAGUUAGCGGUACGUGGCGAGGUUAACCCGUGUGGGGAAGCCGUAGCGAAAGCGAGUCUGAAUAGGGCGAUUGAGUCGCGUGUCCUAGACCCGAAGCGGAGUGAUCUACCCAUGGCCAGGUUGAAGCGCGUGUAAGAGCGCGUGGAGGACCGAACCCACUUCAGUUGAAAAUGGAGGGGAUGAGCUGUGGGUAGGGGUGAAAGGCCAAUCAAACUCGGUGAUAGCUGGUUCUCCCCGAAAUGCAUUUAGGUGCAGCGUCACGCGUUUCUUGCCGGAGGUAGAGCACUGGAUGGCCUAGGGGGCCCACAAGCUUACCGAAGUCAACCAAACUCCGAAUGCCGGUAAGUGAGAGCGUGGCAGUGAGACUGCGGGGGAUAAGCUUCGUAGUCGAGAGGGAAACAACCCAGAUCGCCAGCUAAGGCCCCUAAGCGUGUGCUAAGUGGGAAAGGAUGUGGAGUUGCUGAGACAACCAGGAGGUUGGCUUAGAAGCAGCCACCCUUUAAAGAAAGCGUAAUAGCUCACUGAUCGAGUCGUCCUGCGCGGAAGAUGUAACGGGGCUAAGCCAGUCACCGAAGCUGCGGAUAUGACGUAAUUCAUUACGCCAUAUGGUAGGAGAGCGUUCUGUAAGCCUGCGAAGGUGUCUUGUAAAGGAUGCUGGAGGUAUCAGAAGUGCGAAUGCUGACAUGAGUAACGAUAAUGCGGGUGAAAAACCCGCACGCCGGAAGACCAAGGGUUCCUAUCCCAUGUUAAUCAGGGUAGGGUAAGUCGACCCCUAAGGCGAGGCCGAAAGGCGUAGUCGAUGGGAAACAGGUUAAUAUUCCUGUACUCGGUGUUACUGCGAAGGGGGGACGGAGAAGGCUAUGUUAGCCGGGCGACGGUUGUCCCGGUUUAAGCAUGUAGGCGGAUGUUCCAGGUAAAUCCGGAACGUUAUCAACGCUGAGGUGUGAUGACGAGGCACUACGGUGCUGAAGUAACAAAUGCCCUGCUUCCAGGAAAAGCCUCUAAGCAUCAGGUAACAUCAAAUCGUACCCCAAACCGACACAGGUGGUCAGGUAGAGAAUACUAAGGCGAUCGAGAGAAUCAUGGUUAAGGAACUCGGCAAAAUGCCCCCGUAACUUCGGGAGAAGGGGGGCCAGAGGGCGUGAUGGGACUUGCUCCCGGAGCGUUUGCUGGCCGCAGAGACCAGAGAGAAGCGACUGUUUACUAAAAACACAGGUCCGUGCGAAGUCGCAAGACGAUGUAUACGGACUGACGCCUGCCCGGUGCUGGAAGGUUAAGAGGACCGGUUAGUCAACGUUGUUGGCGAAGCUGAGAAUUUAAGCCCCAGUAAACGGCGGUGGUAACUAUAACCAUCCUAAGGUAGCGAAAUUCCUUGUCGGGUAAGUUCCGACCUGCACGAAUGGCGUAACGACUUCUCUACUGUCUCAACCACGGACUCGGCGAAAUUGCACUACGAGUAAAGAUGCUCGUUACGCGCGGCAGGACGGAAAGACCCCGGGACCUUCACUACAGCUUGAUAUUGGUGCUCGGUUCGGCUUGUGUAGGAUAGGUGGGAGACUGUGAAGCGGGCACGCCAGUGUUCGUGGAGUCGCCGUUGAAAUACCACUCUGGUCACUCUGGAUAUCUAACUUCGGCCCGUGAUCCGGGUCAGGGACAGUGCCUGAUGGGUAGUUUAACUGGGGCGGUUGCCUCCCAAAAUGUAACGGAGGCGCCCAAAGGUUCCCUCAGCCUGGUUGGCAAUCAGGUGUCGAGUGCAAGUGCACAAGGGAGCUUGACUGUGAGAGUGGCAGCUCGAGCAGGGACGAAAGUCGGGACUAGUGAUCCGGCGGCUCGUUGUGGAACGGCCGUCGCUCAACGGAUAAAAGGUACCUCGGGGAUAACAGGCUGAUCUUGCCCAAGAGUCCAUAUCGACGGCAUGGUUUGGCACCUCGAUGUCGGCUCGUCGCAUCCUGGGGCUGGAGUAGGUCCCAAGGGUUGGGCUGUUCGCCCAUUAAAGCGGUACGCGAGCUGGGUUUAGAACGUCGUGAGACAGUUCGGUCCCUAUCUGCCGUGGGUGUAGGAUACUUGAGAGGAGUUGCCCCUAGUACGAGAGGACCGGGGUGAACGUUCCACUGGUGGACCAGUUGUCGUGCCAACGGCAGUGCUGGGUAGCUAUGAACGGACAGGAUAAACGCUGAAGGCAUCUAAGCGUGAAGCCCCCCUCAAAACAAGGUAUCCCUUGA
rnacentral:rRNA from 1 species